rnacentral:rRNA from 1 species
CCCUAGCUAACGGCGAGUGAAGCGGCAACAGCUCAAAUUUGAAAUCUGGCCCCCCCGCGGGGCCCGAGUUGUAAUUUGCAGAGGAUGCUUUUGGCGCGGCGCCUUCCGAGUUCCCUGGAACGGGACGCCAUAGAGGGUGAGAGCCCCGUCUGGUCGGACGCCCAGCCUCUGUAAAGCUCCUUCGACGAGUCGAGUAGUUUGGGAAUGCUGCUCUAAAUGGGAGGUAUAUGUCUUCUAAAGCUAAAUAUUGGCCAGAGACCGAUAGCGCACAAGUAGAGUGAUCGAAAGAUGAAAAGCACUUUGAAAAGAGGGUUAAACAGUACGUGAAAUUGUUGAAAGGGAAGCGCUUGUGACCAGACUUGGGCGCGGCGAAUCAUCCGGCGUUCUCGCCGGUGCACUUCGACGCGCCCGGGCCAGCAUCAGUUCGCGGCGGGGGAUAAAGGCGCCGGGAACGUGGCUCCCCCGGGAGUGUUAUAGCCCGGCGCGCAAUGCCCCGCGGCGGACUGAGGUUCGCGCAUCCGCAAGGAUGCUGGCGUAAUGGUCACCAGUGACCCGUCUUGAAACACGGACCAAGGAGUCGUCCUCGUAUGCGAGUGUUCGGGUGUCAAACCCCUACGCGCAAUGAAAGUGAACGCAGGUGAGAGCCUCACGGCGCAUCAUCGACCGAUCCUGAUGUUCUCGGAUGGAUUUGAGUAAGAGCAUACGGGGCCGGACCCGAAAGAAGGUGAACUAUGCCUGUGUAGGGUGAAGCCAGAGGAAACUCUGGUGGAGGCUCGCAGCGGUUCUGACGUGCAAAUCGAUCGUCA